rnacentral:rRNA from 1 species
GUGAGGAAUAUUGCACAAUGGAGGAAACUCUGAUGCAGCAACGCCGCGUGGAGGAUGACGCAUUUCGGUGUGUAAACUCCUUUUAAGAGGGAAGAUUAUGACGGUACCUCUUGAAUAAGCACCGGCUAACUCCGUGCCAGCAGCCGCGGUAAUACGGAGGGUGCAAGCGUUACUCGGAAUCACUGGGCGUAAAGGGUGCGUAGGCUGACUUUUAAGUCAGGUGUGAAAUCCAAUGGCUCAACCAUUGAACUGCACUUGAAACUGGGAGUCUAGAGUUCAGAAGGGGCAGAUGGAAUUAGUGGUGUAGGGGUAAAAUCCGUAGAUAUCACUAGGAAUAUCAAAAGCGAAGGCGAUCUGCUGGGAUGAUACUGACGCUGAGGCACGAAAGCGUGGGGAGCAAACAGGAUUAGAUACCCUAGUAGUCC